GAUGAACGCUGACAGAAUGCUUAACACAUGCAAGUCAACUUGAACUUCGGUUUGGGUGGCGGACGGGUGAGUAACGCGUAAAGAACUUGCCUCACAGCUAGGGACAACAUUUGGAAACGAAUGCUAAUACCUGAUAUUAUGAUUAUAUGGCAUCGUAUAAUUAUGAAAGCUAUAUGCGCUGUGAGAGAGCUUUGCGUCCCAUUAGCUAGUUGGAGAGGUAACAGCUCACCAAGGCGAUGAUGGGUAGCCGGCCUGAGAGGGUGAUCGGCCACAAGGGGACUGAGACACGGCCCUUACUCCUACGGGAGGCAGCAGUGGGGAAUAUUGGACAAUGGACCGAGAGUCUGAUCCAGCAAUUCUGUGUGCACGAUGAAGUUUUUCGGAAUGUAAAGUGCUUUCAGUUGGGAAGAAAAAAAUGACGGUACCAACAGAAGAAGUGACGGCUAAAUACGG
rnacentral:rRNA from 1 species